UACGGGGGGGGCAAGCGUUGUUCGGAAUUACUGGGCGUAAAGGGCGCGUAGGCGGUUCGCUAAGUUGAAUGUGAAAACUCUGGGCUUAACCCAGAGCCUGCAUUCAAUACUGGCGGGCUAGAGUUCUGGAGGGGAUAGCGGAAUUCCUGGUGUAGCGGUGGAAUGCGUAGAUAUCAGGAGGAACACCGGUGGCGAAGGCGGCUAUCUGGACAGAGUCUGACGCUGAGGCGCGAAAGCUAGGGGAGCAAACAGG
rnacentral:rRNA from 1 species